rnacentral:snoRNA from 1 species
CUUCAGUGAUGAUAAGAUGACGAGUCAGAAGCGGGUGCCUCUUGUUGGGGUACCGCUGCAGUGUCAUGUUCUGUGAUGCUGUGUGUGGUUCUUCGUCCUACUCAUUGAACGAUUUAGAGGCAUUUGUCUGAGAAGG